rnacentral:rRNA from 1 species
AACGAACGCUGGCGGCGUGCCUAACACAUGCAAGUCGAACGAGAAAGGGGCUUCGGCUCCGAGUAAAGUGGCGCACGGGUGAGUAACACGUGGGUAACCUGCCUCUAAGAUUGUGAUAACUCGUCGAAAGAUGAGCUAAUACCGAAUAAGACCACAGUUCCCUCGGGAACAGGGGUCACAGGUAGCCUCUGCUUGCAAGCUAUCACUUAGAUAUUGGCCUGCGCACCAUUAGCUAGUUGGUAGGGUAACGGCCUACCAAGGCAAGGAUGGUUAGCUGGUCUGAGAGGAUGAUCAGCCACACUGGAACUGGGACACGGUCCAGACGCCUACGGGAGGCAGCAGUGGGGAAUAUUGCGCAAGGGGCGAGAGCUUGACGCAGCAACGCCGCGUGAGUGAUGAAGGCCGUCGGGUCGUAAAGCUCUGUCGGGAGGAACGAAUGCUCCUGAGGUUAACAGCCUCGGGAGGUGACGGUACCUUCAAAGGAAGCACCGGCUAACUCUGUG